GAGAAGGAGAGGGGAGGUCUGAUAUGGAGGACGAGAAGGAGAGAGAAGGUCUGAUGGAGGACGAGAAGAGAGAGGAGGUCUGAUGGAGGACGAGAAGAGAGAGAGGAGGUCUGAUAUGGAGGACGAGGGAGAAGGUCUGUGAUGGAGGUCAAGAAGCAAAGGGAUGAGAAGGAGAACUGAGUAGAGAAGGAAGGGGUUGACACAGGGUCCAAUCGUGGAGAUGUUGACCAGACAGGCCCUCCUAGAACAGUAUAGUGUUAGGCCUCCCAGCCAGUAGGGGGAAGUGUGAGUUGACAAUGGUGGGAGAGAGAUGCAUGCUACAGGAGGGUCAGAGGUUAGAGGGCCUUUACUCACCCCAGCGCUAGAGAAGAAAGAGCUGGAGGGAUCGCUCGUGCCAUCCAAUAGGUCGUCAGUGUCCAGCUAGAGAGACAUAACGACAGACAAAGCCAGGACAGAGGGGAAACAGAAUGACAGACAAACAGGCCAGAGGGAGACACACCCCACAAGGAUAGAGCGAGAGAGCCGGGCAGACAGACAGAGAGCCGGGCAGACAGACAGAGAGCCGGGCAGACAGACAGAGAGCCGGGCAGACAGACAGAGAGCCGGGCAGACAGACAGAGAGCCGGGCAGACCCACCAGUGACCCAGGGUUGAGGAGGGGCAGCAAAGUGGUUUAGAGGUGAGAGGGACAGAAAGGAAGGAAGAAACAGAAUCAGAAGAGGGCUAGUGUUAGAUUAGUACUGGUCAUUGUGGAUUAAUAAAGUGAAAAGGCACAGCUGAAAUCCUAAAGAUCCCUCACAAAUAGAUCUCUCAUAAAGCAAGAAACCACAAGCAGCAGCAAAGCCCAUUGAAACAGAAACACACACAUCCCUUUAGAUAAGUGCACGAGAUGUGUGUGCAGUAGCUAGUGAUCUUGUUGAACUAAAUGGUCACUUUGUCUCCAUGCUCAACAGAAUUAGAGGUCAUCUGGUGCCAGUAAGUCAACCACGUCAUCCACCCUCACUACGCCAGGUCAACUGCUAUGAAUUAAUCCAGGUAACUCCUUAGCUUGGCAAGUACAAUAGAGGCAUCAUAACCA
rnacentral:lncRNA from 1 species